rnacentral:misc_RNA from 1 species
GAACGAAACCAACGAAACCACUUCGCGCAACAUUGCAGGCAUGGAGGCAGCUAUUGAACUGUGAUUGAAGUUUACGGAUAUCGGUCGCAUGUGUUUCAUCAUUGUUACUGAAGUCCAUCGUACUUAGUAUUAUGAAGAUCGACUGGAGCAAAUGUCAUCACCCGAUACGAACGUUCUGCUCAACCUUCUCCAGAUAUCGGAUAGCGCGUUCCCAACGGGCAGCUUUGCUCACAGCGCCGGCUUGGAAGCGGCGUACCAGCGUGGGUUUCUGACAACUUCGGAAAAGGUCGAGGAAUUCCUGCUUGCAAGUGUUGAGAAUGUAGGUUCCUUCAGCGUACCAUUCGUGAGAGAAGCGCGCCAGUUGUGGACCGAUCUCGAAGCCAUUCGUGCUCUAGAUCGCCUCCUGAAUGCCUCCUUGAGCAAUCACGUCGCCAACAGGGCGAGUACACAACAGGGACGGUCUCUGAUCCAGACUGCUUGCGCAACAUACAAGGAUGCAAAACUCACCGAAGUUCAGAACUGGAUCUACGAUGGCAAGUUGAUCGGCCAUCAGGCUGUGAUGUAUGGAAUUGUGUGCGCAUUUCUGGGCGUUCCCGAGGACCAGGCAGUCAUGUCAUUCCUGUUCAACUCGCUGCGUACUACGCUAGCCGCGGCAGUGCGGCUUGGAGCUGUAGGCACACUUGAGAAAUGCUUUGCUGUGUCGAGAAAUAAGAGAUCAACUUGCAAGGCAGAAUGCUGAAGCAGCAAAAGUAGCAAGUUUAUACAUACAGGGUCAACGGAUGCAGUUCAAGCUGCAGUCGAGGAUACCUGAGAUCAUUGAGAGGCAUAAACACAGAACAUCAGACAGCGCUGCCAAUGUCUUUCCCUUGGUCGACGUGAUGCAGAGU